CCUACGGGAGGCAGCAGUGAGGAAUAUUGGUCAAUGGACGAGAGUCUGAACCAGCCAAGUAGCGUGAAGGAUGACUGCCCUAUGGGUUGUAAACUUCUUUUAUAUGGGAAUAAAAUGUUACACGUGUGGGGUUUUGUAUGUACCAUAUGAAUGAGGAUCGGCUAACUCCGUGCCGGCAGCCGCGGUAAUACGGAGGAUCCGAGCGUUAUCCUGAUUUCUUGGGUUUAAAGGGAGCGUAGGUGGAUUGUUAAGUAAGUUGUGAAAGUUUGGGGCUCAACCGUAAAAUUGCAGUUGAAACUGGCAGUCUUGAGUACAGUAGAGGUGGGCGGAAUGCGUGGUGUAGCGGUGAAAUGCUUAGAUAUCACGAAGAACUCCGAUGGCGAAGGCAGCUCACUGGACUGCAACUGACACUGAGGCACGAAAGUGUGGGUAUCAAACAGGAUUAGAUACCCCUGUAGUC
rnacentral:rRNA from 1 species